CACAUCCUCUGAGGCAGCAGCGCUCUCAUUGGUUGGCCCUUGGGGGUCUACAGCACUUGUGUGGAUUUGAACUUGGGUCUAUGGCGCCCUGGGUCAACGCUCUUAUCCACUGAGCUACUCGCCUC